GCCUGGAUAGCUCAGCUGGUUAGAGUGUGGUGCUGCUAAUGCCAAGGUUGCAGGUUCGAUCUCUGUAUGGGACA